UACGAAGGGGGCUAGCGUUGCUCGGAAUUACUGGGCGUAAAGGGCGCGUAGGCGGUCACGCACGUCCGUUGUGAAAUCGCUCGGCUCAACUGGGCGGGGUCAGCGGAUACGGCGUGGCUGGAGCAAGCUAGGGGGCAAUGGAAUUCCCGGUGUAGUGGUGGAAUGCGUAGAUAUCGGGAGGAACACCAGUGGCGAAGGCGGUUGCCUGGAGCUUUGCUGACGCUGAUGCGCGAAAGCGUGGGGAGCGAUCCGG
rnacentral:rRNA from 1 species